AUUGAACGCUGGCGGCAUGCCUUACACAUGCAAGUCGAACGGCAGCACGGGGCAACCUGGUGGCGAGUGGCGAACGGGUGAGUAAUACAUCGGAACGUACCCUGAAGUGGGGGGAUAACGUAGCGAAAGUUACGCUAAUACCGCAUAUUCUGUGAGCAGGAAAGAGGGGGAUCGCAAGACCUCUUGCUUUAGGAGCGGCCGAUGUCGGAUUAGCUAGUUGGUGAGGUAAAGGCUCACCAAGGCGACGAUCCGUAGCGGGUCUGAGAGGAUGAUCCGCCACACUGGGACUGAGACACGGCCCAGACUCCUACGGGAGGCAGCAGUGGGGAAUUUUGGACAAUGGGCGCAAGCCUGAUCCAGCCAUGCCGCGUGAGUGAAGAAGGCCUCGGUUGUAAG
rnacentral:rRNA from 1 species